rnacentral:rRNA from 1 species
UACGUAGGGUGCGAGCGUUAAUCGGAACUACUGGGCGUAAAGCGUGCGCAGGCGGCUUUGCAAGACAGAUGUGAAAUCCCCGGGCUCAACCUGGGAACUGCAUUUGUGACUGCAAGGCUAGAGUACGGCAGAGGGGGAUGGAAUUCCGCGUGUAGCAGUGAAAUGCGUAGAUAUGCGGAGGAACACCAAUGGCGAAGGCAAUCCCCUGGGCCUGUACUGACGCUCAUGCACGAAAGCGUGGGGAGCAAACAGG